AGACACCUCAGUGGAUGGGUCACUGUGACAAUGAGGUUGCUGCAAACAGACACUGUGGCUCUGCUUCUCUCAGCGACUGUCAAAGGCUACACUGUGUGCAAAUCCGAAUGCACAACAGGAAUCCACAGGAACCCCGGGGGCACAGAAAGAUUCUGACAGAAGGCGCAAAUUUCACUUCCUUUGGAGAAUUGUCAUUUCCCUCCAAAAGCUGGAGGGGUCACGGAGUCUUCUGGAAGAUGUAGUGUUUGCUGGAGUGUUGAACAGCUAGUGAAGAAUUUCUGCUGUAAUGAGGGGAAUGAGCCUGUUGAGUUACGGGUUUUGGCAGAACUGCAGUGAUCUGUAUUGACAUGAGACUUAGGGAAGCUUUUUCCUGAACAGCAAAAUGAGAUGGGUGUCUGUGGUUCACUCCAGAUUACCCUGUGUGUGUCUCAAAAGCUCUGUCUUGUUCUUGGCAGAAACUGGAGACAGUGGUUCCUAUGAAUGUAUUGGAGAUGACAUAAUAGAUUUUGAAGAAUGGGUAUGCUUUUUGGGGUAGUAUAGUGUUUUAUAAUA